UGGUGGUGGUGAUGAUGGUGGUUGACAGUGGUGAGGCUGUGGUGUUGGUGGUUGUGGUUAUACUCUCUUGGUUAGCUGUGGUGGUGGUGGUGGUGGUGAGUCAAGUGGUGUCGAUUGUGGUGUCGUAUCUCAGUCCCUCCAGGUGUUGUAUUCCCCUAAUUAAGACAGGUAGGAGGUAGUUUGGACAGGUAAAAACAUGGCUGUCAUUUUUUUUUUUUUUUUUGUGAGGUCGAGAAAGAAAUCAGCCAGUCAGUCAAAUCUCAGGUCUGCCAGGUAUUGGUGUCUCCCUAAUUAGACAGGUGAACAGGUAGAUUUUUGACAGGUAUAAAGUAGAAUUUGGACCGGUAUAAUUAGGCAGGUAUGAAUUUGACAGGUAUAAAGUAGAAUUUGGACAGGUAGAAUUAGACAGGAAUAAAGUAGAUUUUGGACAGGUAUAAAGUAGAAUUUGGACCGGUAUAAUUAGGCAGGUUUGAAGUAGAUUUUCGACAGGUAUAAUUUGACAGGUAUAAAGUAGAAUUUAGACAGGUAAAAUUAGACAGGAAUAAAGUAGAUUUUGGCCAGGUAUGAAGUAGAAUCUGGACAGGUAUAAAGCAGAAUUUGGACAGGUAUAAUUUGACAGGUAUAAAGUAGAAUUUGGACAGGUAUAAAGUAGAAUUUGGACAGGUAGAAUUUGACAGGUAUAAAGUAGAAUUUGGACAGGUAUAAUUUGACAGGUAUAAAGUAGAAUUUGGACAGGUAGAUUUAGACAGGUGAACAGGUAGAUUUUUGACAGGUAUAAAGUGGAAUUAGGACAGGUAUAAUUUGACAGGUGUAAAGUAGAAUUUGGACAGGUAUAAAGUGGAAUUUGGGCAGGUAUAAUUUGACAGGUGUAAAGUAGAAUUUGGACAGGUAUAAAGUGGAAUUUGGACAGGUAUAAUUUGACAGGUGUAAAGUAGAAUUUGGACAGGUAUAAAGUGGAAUUUGGACAGGUAUAAUUUGACAGGUAUAAAGUAGAAUUUGGACAGGUAUAAUUUGACAGGUAUAAAGUAGAAUUUGGACAGGUAUAAUUUGACAGGUAUAAAGUAGAAUUUGGACAGGUAUAAUUUGACAGGUAUAAAGUAGAAUUUGGACAGGUAUAAAGUGGAAUUUGGACAGGUAUAAUUUGACAGGUGUAAAGUAGAAUUUGGACAGGUAUAAACAGACAGGUAUAAGAUAUAAUUUGGACAGGUGUAAACAGACAGGUACAAUAUAUAAUUUGGGCAGGUAUAAACAGACAGGUACAAGAUAUAAUUUGGACAGGUAUAAUCAGACAGGUAUAAGGUAGAAUUUGGACAGGUAUAAACAGACAGGUACAAGAUAUAAUUUGGACAGGUAUAAACAGACAGGUACAAGAUAUAAUUUGGACAGGUAUAAACAGACAGGUACAAGAUAUAAUUUGGACAGGUAUAAACAGACAGGUAUAAGGUAUAAUUUGGACAGGUAUAAACAGACAGGUACAAGAUAUAAUUUGGACAGGUAUAAACAGACAGGUACAAGAUAUAAUUUGGACAGGUAUAAACAGACAGGUAUAAGACAGAAUUUGGACAGGUAUAAGGUAGAAUUUGGACAGGUAAAAUCACUCAUUAUUAUUAU